rnacentral:rRNA from 1 species
AUGAAGUUGGUGGAUGCAAUCCAACGCCUAGGAAUAGCACACCUCUUUGAAAUACAGAUAGGCACUGCUCUAUGUGACAUACAUGAAAAUGAACUCAAUAUCUCUAGCCUCCGCGAGGUUGCUCUUCGGUUCUGCCAUCUUAGGGAACAUGUUCUUUGGGUAUCUCCAGAUGUAUUCAACAAGUUUAGGGGUGAAGAUGGGACCUUUAACGAGGAUAUAAAAAAUGAUCCGAAGGGAAUCCUAUGUCUCUACAAUGCAGCAUAUAUGUUGACCCAUGGCGGGCCAGAACUCGAAGGCGCCAUCUCUCUUGCAAGGCAUCAUCUAGAAUCAUUGGCACCGAGCCUUGGAUCCCCUUUAGCAGAGCAAGUCAAGCAUGCCCUUCAUGUACCACUACCAAGGACCUAUAGGAGGUUGGAUGCACUAUGCUACAUACUAGAAUACGAACAAGAAGAAGGGCCCAAUCCAAUCCUUCUAGAGCUCGCAAAGCUGGAAUUUAACCUCCUCCAGGCUGUCCACUUGAAGGAGCUCAAAGCUAUCUCUGAGUAUUUUCAUUAA